AUGGGCGCAAGCCUGAUCUAGCCAUGCCGCGUUGAGUGACGAAGGCCUUAGGGUCGUAAAGCUCUUUCGCCAGAGAUGAUAAUGACAGUAUCUGGUAAAGAAACCCCGGCUAACUCCGUGCCAGCAGCCGCG
rnacentral:rRNA from 1 species